rnacentral:tRNA from 1 species
GGGGAUAUAGCUCAGUGGUAGAGCACUUGCCUAGCAUGCAUGAGGCCUUGAGGUCAAACCCCAGCAUCAACA